rnacentral:rRNA from 1 species
UACGAAGGGGGCUAGCGUUGCUCGGAAUUACUGGGCGUAAAGCGCACGUAGGCGGCUUUCUAAGUCGGGGGUGAAAUCCUGGAGCUCAACUCCAGAACUGCCUUCGAUACUGGAGAGCUCGAGUCCGGGAGAGGUGAGUGGAACUGCGAGUGUAGAGGUGAAAUUCGUAGAUAUUCGGAAGAACACCAGUGGCGAAGGCGGCUCACUGGACCGGCAUUGACGCUGAGGUGCGAAAGCGUGGGGAGCAAACAGG